rnacentral:rRNA from 1 species
GAUCAUGGCUCAGGAUGAACGCUGGCGGCGUGCCUAAUACAUGCAAGUCGAACGCUUCACAUCGGUGAAGAGUGGCGAACGGGUGAGUAAUACAUAAGUAACCUGGCAUCUACAGGGGGAUAACUGAUGGAAACGUCAGCUAAGACCGCAUAGGUGUAGAGAUCGCAUGAACUCUAUAUGAAAAGUGCUACGGGACUGGUAGAUGAUGGACUUAUGGCGAA